UCUAAUAUGGCAGAUUAGUGCAAUGGAUACC
rnacentral:tRNA from 1 species